rnacentral:rRNA from 2 species
AGCAUCCGUAGCCGGUUGCAUAAGUUUUCGGUUAAAUCUACGCGCUCAACGUAUAGGCCGCCGAAAAUACUGUGCAGCUAGGGAGUGGGAGAGGUACACGGUACUCAGUAGGAAGGGGUAAAAUCCUUUGAUCUAUUGAUGACCACCUGUGGCGAAGGCGGUGUACCAGAACACGUUCGACGGUGAGGGAUGAAAGCUGGGGGAGCAAACCGGAUUAGAUACCCGGGUAGUCCCAGCUGUAAACGAUGCAGACUCGGUGAUGCAUUGGCUUAUGGCCAGUGCAGUGCCGCAGGGAAGCCGUUAAGUUUGCCGCCUGGGAAGUACGUACGCAAGUAUGAAACUUAAAGGAAUUGGCGGGGGAGCACAAGCCG